UUGCUUCCAGUAGGGACGACACCAUCUCAAAGAGGUGGUUCCCCCAGCUUGAGGCUCACCCCUUGUGUUCUGGGUGUGCUGAUCCUUGCGAUUUCCCCAAAUGCAGGAGACCUGUCUGCAGGCUUGGUGGCACUGGGGGACUGUGUUUGCACCCUUCUUAG
rnacentral:snRNA from 1 species